CCAGUGUAUCAAGAGUGAGAUUAAAUUCUCCUCCAACCUGCCCACUCCGGUAAGGUGGAAAAACGAUACGGCAAUCUGCAAUACAAGGAGGAAAC
rnacentral:ncRNA from 10 species